GUGACUUGCAGUCAGGCAUGCUCCUUUAUUUUAAAUCAGGUUGCUCUGUGUUUAACUUAUUUGCAAUGGCGUGAUUGUGCUUAUAUUGAUGUGUUACUGUGUAUAGCUUGUUGUGUGUAUAUGAUUUGUAGCCACCACAUCAAAGUAGUUAUCACCCUCAUGUUCCCACACAGCACCCUUCCCUUGUUCAGGGCAUGCUGCCUCCUUCUAAAAUUUGUAACACUUUGUUGAGUUGCUGUUCCUCUAGUACAGCCUGACAGAAAGUACUGCUGUGUUGAGGAGUUUUUAGAAAUUGUCAUGUGUUGGCGGGGGAAAUGUCACCUGCUGUUUUUCUUGUUGGAGUUUAUAGGUGAGUGGGAUUUAACUUGAAUUAGCAAAGGUAAGUCCACUGAUGUGUACUAUUUAAAGAAACAAGGAAAAACAAAUGGAGGGCCUACAGGUGCCAGACAGGGAGGUACAGCAGGGGCCAAGGGAGAGAAAGUCCCUCCCAGAGUUCACUCGUGCAUGUAAACACUUCUGAUAUGUUUCCUGUCCAAAGAAGUUGAGAGAAAGAAGAAAAGCAGGUCAGUGCUCCUAAGUCUGACCACUAAGCCAGCCUCGUUAGGAGAACCUGAGAGUCUCUUUCUACCCUCACUGAAGAGGACCCAUGGGAAUCCGAGCUCUCUGUGCUGGCUUCACCGACUGCUGCAAUUCUAAGAACGUUCUCUUUGACAAGUACAGCACCUGCUCAGUGCAGGCCUGUCUGUCUCCAGUUAGGAUAGACUAAGGGCCCCAACUUCCACAAUGUCCUGAUCUUACAGCAUAGGGCACAGUGAGCACCGGGAACAUCAGCACGGCACUAUUCUCCUGGAAAGUAAGUGUCUUGCUAGAGUCAAAGGGUUUGGCUCACUUAGGAAGACUCACAGAGUGAAAGAUGAGGAGAACCAAGUCCUCAAGUUGACCUCUGACCCCCACAUGCACACCAUGGCACACAAGUGCUCAGAGAGGGGGACAAAUAAACAGGGACACCUGCUGCUGCCCUGAACCUCCUGGGCCUAGCUGCACUAGAGCACCCCAGUAACUCACAAAGUUCUGCCCCCUGGACUAAGUGGAAUGAAACUGGCAAACAGAAGUUAGAGCUGUGUAAGCUCUCCCGAGUCUUCAGCAGAAAGAACACAUUUACAAUACAUAACCACCAGGGAAGCAGGAAAAGUCUCAAAGUUUAAGUAACAAAACUGAGGCAAAAGCCAGAGAAAUGGAGUUUGUCUGGAUCCUUCAGUAUUUCAUUUCCAAGGAAACUGACUGACAAAGGGACAAUGACUCAUCAUUUUUCCAUCCUUUCAAAAUGACUGUUACUGUAAGAAAAACAACAGAUCCCAAACCCUCCUAAUGAAGGGCUGGGAGGGUCUCUUCUCAGCCCGGGAUUCCUGUCUGGAAAGAAGUUACCGUUAGAAUUCUGCUGUCAUCACCUCUGUUGCCGCUGUAAGCCCACACUAACUGUCUGUGUUUGGAUUUUAGCCCCUGUAGCAGUACCUAUGUGUAAGUGCAUUUUCUUUUCAUCAAUCCGGUAGACUUAGGGAUCCCAAAAUGGGCAGAACGCUGUUCCUCAUGAUCUCGGUGGGAUGUUUCUAUUUACGACUACCUGCCCCAUCCUCUUACUAAGCAAUCUGUUAUGAAUCACUCGGUAGAAAGAUAAACACAUGAUAGAAAGGUUGAGAAAAAAAUCCCCCAAACGACAUUUUCCUAACAGCUUUUUUGGUAAAUUGAUUAUGUAAUUAUUUAUAUUUCAUGUGCAUUGGUGCUUUGCCUGCAUGUAUGUCUAUGUGAGGGUUCUGGAGAUACGAAUGGUUGUGAGCUUCCAUGUGGGUACUGGGAAUUGAACUUGGGUCCUCCAGAACAGUGUCACUGCUCUUAACCAUUGAGCCAUCUCUCCCGCGUGAAGACAGCUUUUCAUAAGAAAUAAAACUUCCCAUGCUAAGGAGGACAAUACAGCAGACACAGAGAUGGCUGGGUGGGGUACAGGGCACACUCAGAAGGAGGGAAGGAGGGGCUGAGUGCAGCCAGCUUGAGGUCUCUGACUGCUCUGCAGGAACCCUCCUACUGGCUGGGAAAAGGGAGCCAUGCACAGGGCAGCCAGUCACAUCAGAGCAGCCCCUGCCUUUAGAAAACGCCCUGCUCUCACCUUAGACAGCUUCCCUGGGGGAGGUCUGGUGCCCACAGGAGAGCAAUGGUUAGCUCUUGGGGGGAAAAACAAAAGGAGGAAAGAGCCUGUAGCCUUGUUUCAAAUAUUCUGCUAAUGUGUUUCUGUUUCAUGCCGUCCUGCCAGUUACUCCGUGCCUAUUGCUUUCAGAUCCAGGAAAUUCAUUCUGUUCCCAGGUGUCUCGGGGGGAGGAAAUCCCCCAAGGACAGCUUCCAGAUCCCAGGUGACAGAUCGUGGAGAGAAUAGGGACACCGUGUUGCAGUCAUGUCGCAGCGAGUCCUUUACACUGCUGCGCCAAAGUGAGUCUGGAAACAGAAUAAGAAGAGGGAGCCUGCGGAGGAGCACCUGCGAGCCUCCAAGGAGACAAGGAUCUCAAGUGCGAUUUGAAUGUGUACGGGAAGUCGUGUGUUGUGACCCUCCACAGCCACCGCCACCACCACCUUGCAAUACACAGGAAGCCCCACCCCCAAAGAAUGAUGAGUGCGCACCAAAGAAACAGGAAUGUGUCCAAACCUGUAUUCCUAUACCGGAACCCAUAAUGUGUCCAUGCCCCAUACCACCACCGUGUCCGUGUCCACCAGAACCCCAAUGCCAGGGGGGAGGACAGCAGCAGCAGCAGCAGCAACAAUCAGGACAGCAGCAGCAGCAGCAGCAGCAGCAGCAGAAGAAAUAGCCUGAGCAGGCAACGCCAGCACCUGUAGAGCAGACCUGUUCGUUUUCUGCUCUUCAGAAAUCUACCGUUACUAGACUUGCUCACCACUAAUUUCAUCUUCCAGAUAUCACUCCAUAAGAACAUUUAUACACACAUCAUCCAACGCAGGAAGACGGUGUUUUCUGAAAUAAAAUGUCUUUAUUAAAUAUCCAAUAAGUUCCCUUGGCAGUAUUCUAUCUCUAACUUAACCAGCUGACCUUAACAUUCUGAUGGUUGCAAAUGCUCUAUUAGACAUAAAUGUGUGUGUGUGUAUGUACUUAUAUUUACAUGAGAGAAAAAAUAAAAAUCAGAGUUCCUGCAACCAAGUAGUUUACAACAGAAA